GACGAACUGUCCUAACGUUGUUCGGAAUCACUGGGCUUAAAGGGCGCGUAGGCGGUCCGACAAGUCAGGGGUGAAAUCCUGCGGCUUAACUGCAGAAGUGCCUUUGAUACUGUCGGUCUUGAGGGAGAUAGGGGUGUGCGGAACUCACAGUGGAGCGGUGAAAUGCGUUGAUAUUGUGAGGAACGCCGGAGGCGAAAGCGGCGCACUGGAUCUCUUCUGACGCUGAGGCGCGAAAGCUAGGGGAGCAAACGGG
rnacentral:rRNA from 1 species